UAUAACAUACAAAACUCUGAUUGUGUCAUGCCAGUGAAGAGAAUCCAUAAAAGUCUUAAAAUUUUAUAUAGCACAUACAUGCUUUCAAGGGCAUUGCAUGUACAAUCAAUGGCUGCAGAACAUUUGUUAAGCCCUAAGGUAAGAACAUUUUACAAGGUCCUCAAAAGAAAACCCCAAAACAUAAUUACAUUACUAAAAACAGGCUGUCAACGCUGAUUACAUCAGGAAUAACUGCAACAAAACGUUUCCAGUAACUUUUGAUAUGUCCUGCUUAUUGACUUGGACGAAUCUUUGCCCAUUCCUCUGUACAGAACAGCUUCAACUCUUGGAUGUUGGUGGGUUUCCUCACAUGAGCUGCUUGCUUCCUCAUCCUUCCACAACAUUUCAAUCAUUUUAAGGUCAUAACUUUUGACUCUGCCUUUCCAAAACAUUCACUUUAUUCUUCUUUAAGAUGUGAUGGAAAACCCAGUUGUGGCACCGUGCUGCCGCAGCCUCGUUGGAUGCCGGGUCUGCGUUGAGCAGUGGGCAACUACCUCGCCGCACUGCCCAAAAUGCAGGGACGAGAUGUUCCAAGAAAAAAAAAAUUUUAAUUACAGGGAUGGGGGAGAUUGUGAAUGUUUUGAAAGACACUAUUAGUUAGGAGAUUGUUUUAGUUAGUUUUUAUUUUAGGUUUUAAGUUAAGUCAAAUGGUUAAGUUUGGUUAUGUUCAUCUGUUAUGUUAUUUUAUGCAAUUAAUAAAUUGUUCAAUUUUAUUUUCUAUUACUCUCACUUGCAGAACUCCUUUUGUUGUAUUCAUUUUAUGUUAUUUUAUGCAAAUAAUAAAUUAAUAUAAAUAUUUUAAUAAAAUAAAUUAUGUUCACUUUCA